AGCGCGAACGCUGGCGGCAUGCCUAACACAUGCAAGUCGUACGGAGAGUGGGGCAACUCACUCUCAGUGGCAAACGGGUGAGUAACGCGUGAAUAACCUGCCUUUGAGAAGGGGAUAACUGUCCGAAAGGAUAGCUAAUACCCUAUAUUGCCUUUUGUCACUAAGGCAAAAGGUGAAAGCGAGGCUGUCAAAGGCUUCGGCUCAAAGAGGGGUUCGCGUCCUAUCAGGUAGUUGGUGGGGUAAUGGCCUACCAAGCCAAUGACGGGUAGCUGGUCUUAGAGGAUGAUCAGCCACAGUGGGACUGAGACACGGCCCGCACCCCUACGGGGGGCAGCAGUGGGGAAUCGUGGGCAAUGGGCGCAAGCCUGACCCCGCAAUGCCGCGUGAGGGAAGAAGCCCUUCGGGGUGUAAACCUCUGUCAGAUGGGAAGAUGGGACUAGGCGCUAAUACCUCCUGGUCUUGACGGUACCAUCAGAGGAAGGGACGGCUAACUACGUGCCAGCAGCCGCGGUAAUACGUAGGUCCCGAGCGUUGCGCGAUGUUACUGGGCGUAAAGCGUCCGUAGCUGGUUUCGUAAGCGGAUUGUCAAAGCCCGAAGCUCAACUUCGGCAAGGCAUUCCGAACUGCGUUACUUGAGUCCUGUUCAGGUAGGCGGAAUUCCCGGUGUAGCGGUGAAAUGCGUAGAUAUCGGGAGGAACACCAGUGGCGAAGGCGGCCUACUGGGACGGUACUGACGGUCAUGGACGAAAGCUGGGGGAGCAAACCGGAUUAGAUACCCGGGUAGUCCCAGCCGUAAACGAUGGAUGUUAGGUGUAGUGAUAACUUCGCUGCACCCCAGCUAACGCGUUAAACAUCCCGCCUGGGGAGUACGGGCGCAAGCCUGAAACUCAAAGGAAUUGGCGGGGGCCCGCACAACCGGUGGAGCGUCUGGUUUAAUUCGAUGCUAACCGAAAAACCUUACCAGGGUUUGAAAUGGUAGGAAAGGCUGUCGAAAGAUAGCCGUGUUUCCCUUUUGGGAGAAAUCCUACCACAGGUGGUGCAUGGCCGUCGUCAGCUCGUGUUGUGAGAUGUUGGGUUAAGUCCCGCAACGAGCGCAACCCUUGUCCUUAUUUGCUU
rnacentral:rRNA from 1 species